AAACAGAUUUUAUUAUGUUGGUUCAAAAGUAAUUGUGGUUUUUAACAUUAAAAGUAAUUGUAAAAACCACAAUUGCUUUUGCACCAACCUAAUA
rnacentral:miRNA from 10 species